rnacentral:rRNA from 1 species
AGAGUUUGAUCAUGGCUCAGGAUGAACGCUAGCGGCAGGCCUAAUACAUGCAAGUCGAGCGGCAAGUCGAGGAGUAAUCUGAGACCUAGAGCGGCGUACGGGUGCGUAACGCGUAUGCAACCUACCUCAUACAGGGGGAUAGCCCGGAGAAAUCUGGAUUAAUACCCCAUGGCACAGCACAAGGGCAUCUGCGAGCUGUUAAAGAUUCAUCGGUAUGAGAUGGGCAUGCGUCUGAUUAGCUAGUUGGCGGUGUAACGGACCACCAAGGCGACGAUCAGUAGGGGUUCUGAGAGGAAGGUCCCCCACACUGGCACUGAGAUACGGGCCAGACUCCUACGGGAGGCAGCAGUAGGGAAUAUUGGGCAAUGGACGAGAGUCUGACCCAGCCAUGCCGCGUGCAGGAAGACGGCGUUCUGCGUUGUAAACUGCUUUUAUCUGGGAAGAAAAGGCCCGUGCGCGGGACAUUGCCGGUACCAGAUGAAUAAGCACCGGCUAACUCCGUGCCAGCAGCCGCGGUAAUACGGAGGGUGCAAGCGUUGUCCGGAUUUAUUGGGUUUAAAGGGUGCGUAGGCGGCUGUUUAAGUCAGUGGUGAAAGACAUCGGCUCAACCGAUGCAGUGCCAUUGAUACUGGGCAGCUUGAGUGUUGGAGGGGUACAUGGAAUUGAUGGUGUAGCGGUGAAAUGCAUAGAUACCAUCAGGAACACCGAUAGCGAAGGCAUUGUACUGGCCAACAACUGACGCUGAGGCACGAAAGCAUGGGGAGCGAGCAGGAUUAGAUACCCUGGUAGUCCAUGCCGUAAACGAUGAUUACUCGCUGUUAUGCCGUAGGGUGUAGCGGCCAAGCGAAAGCGUUAAGUAAUCCACCUGGGGAGUACGCCGGCAACGGUGAAACUCAAAUGAAUUGACGG